rnacentral:rRNA from 1 species
AUUGAACGCUGGCGGCAGGCCUAACACAUGCAAGUCGAGCGGAUGAAGGGAGCUUGCUCCUGGAUUCAGCGGCGGACGGGUGGGUAAUGCCUAGGAAUCUGCCUGGUAGUGGGGGAUAACGUCCGGAAACGGGCGCUAAUACCGCAUACGUCCUGAGGGCGAAAGGGGGGGAUCUUCGGACCUCACGCUAUCAGAUGAGCCUAGGUCGGAUUAGCUAGUUGGUGGGGUAAAGGCCUACCAAGGCGACGAUCCGUAACUGGUCUGAGAGGAUGAUCAGUCACACUGGAACUGAGACACGGUCCAGACUCCUACGGGAGGCAGCAGUGGGGAAUAUUGGACAAUGGGCGAAAGCCUGAUCCAGCCAUGCCGCGUGUGUGAAGAAGGUCUUCGGAUUGUAAAGCACUUUAAGUUGGGAGGAAGGGCAGUAAGUUAAUACCUUGCUGUUUUGACGUUACCAACAGAAUAAGCACCGGCUAACUUCGUG